rnacentral:rRNA from 1 species
GUUGACCUCGGAUCAGGUAGGAAUACCCGCUGAACUUAAGCAUAUCAAUAGCCCGGAGGAA